rnacentral:rRNA from 1 species
AGGACGAACGCUGGCGGCGUGCUUAACACAUGCAAGUCGAGCGGAAAGGCCUUUCGGGGUACUCGAGCGGCGAACGGGUGAGUAACACGUGAGUAAUCUGCCCAUCGCUUCAGGAUAGCCAUCGGAAACGGUGAUUAAUACUGGAUAUGACAUUCCUUCGCAUGUUGGGGUGUGGUAAAGUUUUUCGGCGGUGGAUGUGCUCGCGGCCUAUCAGCUUGUUGGUGGGUAAUGGCCUACCAAGGUCUUUGACGGGUAGCCGGCUGAGAGGGUCGACCGGCCACACGUGGGACUGAGACCACGGCCCAGACUCCACGGGAGGCAGCGAGUGGGAAUAGUUGGAACAAGUGGGACGGAAGCCUAGAUCCGAGACCAACGCCGGCGUGGAGGAUGACCGGUCCGUUCGGGUUACGUAACC